ensembl:lncRNA
CAUUUGUCACUAGUUAAUCCUUCUGGAUACAUUGUGUGCUUGAACCUUUGAGAAUUACGAAUAAUUCCUUCUACUGUAGAUGCUGCUUCUCUGAACACAUCUUUGAAUGUCAUCAUUGUAUGGAACAGUUAUUUAGCUAUUUCUGCACUAAAGAAUUUGGAGGAGGAAGAAGAGAUGAAGAAGGACUCUGGAGCAAACUUCAAAAGAGAAAGGGCUGAGGAAGAGGAGAAGAGAGAGAAAUGGCUUCAGAGGGCUGUACAGCUCUUGCAUGAGUUAGUUUUUCCUGAAUAUUAUCAACUGCCACAGCAAAACCCAAUCAUAGAAC